UACAGAGGGUGCGAGCGUUGUCCGGAAUCACUGGGCGUAAAGGGCGCGUAGGCGGCCUGAUAAGUAGGGGGUGAAAUCCUGUAGCUUAACUGCAGGGCCGCCUCCUAAACUGUUGGGCUAGAGCACGGUAGAGGCAGAUGGAAUUCCCGGUGUAGCGGUGGAAUGCGUAGAGAUCGGGAAGAACAUCAGUGGCGAAGGCGGUCGGCUGGGCCGUUGCUGACGCUGAGGCGCGACAGCGUGGGGAGCAAACAGG
rnacentral:rRNA from 1 species